GGUUGUGGCUCAGCGGUAGAGUGCUCGCCUAGCACGUGCGAGGCCCUGGGUUCAAUCCUCAGCACCA
rnacentral:tRNA from 1 species